rnacentral:rRNA from 1 species
UACGAAGGGGGCUAGCGUUGCUCGGAAUUACUGGGCGUAAAGCGCACGUAGGCGGCUUCUUAAGUCGGUGGUGAAAUCCUGGAGCUCAACUCCAGAACUGCCUUUGAUACUGGCGACCUUGAGUCCGGGAGAGGUGAGUGGAACUGCGAGUGUAGAGGUGAAAUUCGUAGAUAUUCGCAAGAACACCAGUGGCGAAGGCGGCUCACUGGCCCGGUACUGACGCUGAGGUGCGAAAGCGUGGGGAGCAAACAGG